rnacentral:rRNA from 1 species
AGAGUUUGAUUAUGGCUCAGAUUGAACGCUGGCGGCAUGCCUUACACAUGCAAGUCGAACGGCAGCGCGGGAGCAAUCCUGGCGGCGAGUGGCGAACGGGUGAGUAAUACAUCGGAACGUGCCCAAUCGUGGGGGAUAACGCAGCGAAAGCUGUGCUAAUACCGCAUACGAUCUACGGAUGAAAGCAGGGGAUCGCAAGACCUUGCGCGAAUGGAGCGGCCGAUGGCAGAUUAGGUAGUUGGUGAGGUAAAGGCUCACCAAGCCUUCGAUCUGUAGCUGGUCUGAGAGGACGACCAGCCACACUGGGACUGAGACACGGCCCAGACUCCUACGGGAGGCAGCAGUGGGGAAUUUUGGACAAUGGGCGAAAGCCUGAUCCAGCCAUGCCGCGUGCAGGAUGAAGGCCUUCGGGUUGUAAACUGCUUUUGUACGGAACGAAACGGCCUUUUCUAAUAAAGAGGGCUAAUGACGGUACCGUAAGAAUAAGACACCGGCUAACUACGUGCCAGCAGCCGCGGUAAUACGUAGGGUGCAAAGCGUUAAUCGGAAUUACUGGGCGUAAAGCGUGCGCAGGCGGUUAUGUAAGACAGUUGUGAAAUCCCCUSGGCUCAACCCGGGAACUGCAUCUGUGACUGCAUAGCUWSAAUACGGU